UGUGUGUGAACCUCUGGAUCUCCACAUAUUUGGAGCUGAAGAGCCAGCUCGCUAGCCUCCUUGCGAAGUGACUACGGGAUCAAAACACCAGCGGAGCUGCUGCCUCACCUGGACCCCUUAUCAGCCCGCUGCCAGACCUGCUACAGAGCUGGACCAGGCCUCUCAGCAGGGGACCUCUCCAACUCCUCGCCUUGCUGUCUGCCUGGGAACUCCAAGCCCACUGCCAAGAGUGACAGCCAUCCCACGACUUCCUUCCUGUCGCCCUUAAGCACUGCUGAGCUGCAUGACAGCAGGCACUCGUGACCCCUAGCCCAGCCAUUUGGGGAGUAAACAAGCAGAUGGAAGACCUCUCUCUGCCUCUCAAUUUUAAAGGCUGAGAAGUCCAAGAUCAGGGUGCUGGUAUCCUGUAUGGGUUGCAUCCUCACAUACAGAAGAGCAAAAGAGAGAACCAAUUCCC